AUUGAACGCUGGCGGAAUGCUUUACACAUGCAAGUCGAGCGGCAGCGCGGGGCAACCUGGCGGCGAGCGGCGAACGGGUGAGUAAUACAUCGGAACGUGCCCAGACGUGGGGGAUAACUACUCGAAAGAGUGGCUAAUACCGCAUACGAUCUACGGAUGAAAGCGGGGGAUCGCAAGACCUCGCGCGUCUGGAGCGGCUGAUGGCAGAUUAGGUAGUUGGUGGGAUAAAAGCCUACCAAGCCAACGAUCUGUAGCUGGUCUGAGAGGAUGAUCAGCCACACUGGGACUGAGACACGGCCCAGACUCCUACGGGAGGCAGCAGUGGGGAAUUUUGGACAAUGGGCGAAAAGCCGUGAUCCAGCCAUUCCGCGUGCAGGAUGAAGGCCUCGGGUUGUAAACUGCUUUUGUACAGAACGAAAAGGACUCUAGGCGUAAUACCUGGAGUCCAUGACGGUACUGUAAGAAUAAGCACCGGCUAACU
rnacentral:rRNA from 1 species